AACACAUACAAACAUACAAGUGCAAGGGUGAGCUAGGUCUAAAACAAUCAUACAAUUUACUGCAAGAACGUUCAUACACAUUUAAACAUGUACUAGUAUUACCGAGAAUAUCCAUAUACACUCAAGCAUGUAAGUCAUCAUGAACAUAAACAUUUAUUUCAUAGAACUCAUUAAAACAAGCAUCAUAUCAUGUUAAGACUCCUAGACACGUCCGGACAUAGAAUGAAUGUAGAGCUGGGGCGGGUUGUGCACUUGUGAUGGCCCC
rnacentral:lncRNA from 1 species